AUACGGAGGAUCCAAGCGUUAUCCGGAUUUAUUGGGUUUAAAGGGAGCGUAGGUUGACAUAUAAGUCAGCUGUGAAAGUUUACGGCUCAACCGUGAAAUUGCAGUUGAUACUGUAUGUCUUGAGUGUACAAGAGGUGGGCGGAAUUCGUGGUGUAGCGGUGAAAUGCUUAGAUAUCACGCAGAACUCCGAUUGCGAAGGCAGCUUACUAAGCUACAACUGACACUGAAGCACGAAAGC
rnacentral:rRNA from 1 species